UCCACCGUGAGGUGGGGUCUGAAGGAAGCCGGAGGCAAAACCUUGGUCCGACGAAUAGAAACUUUAUACGAAGGCAGAGUCUGACAGGAUGAGGCAGCCACCUAUGCUGAAGUCCAACGAUGGUCUUGGCCAGGCUUUGUAAAUAAAGCGGAUAGAUGAGGUGAAAGAUUACACU
rfam:Dialister succinatiphilus YIT 11850 genomic scaffold supercont1.4, whole genome shotgun sequence.